rnacentral:rRNA from 1 species
UUUUUAAAAUGAGAGUUUGAUCCUGGCUCAGGACGAACGUUGGCGGCGUGCCUAAUACAUGCAAGUCGAACGAAGUCGCCUAAUUGAUUCUUGAUGCUU